rnacentral:rRNA from 1 species
GUACUCGAGCGGCGAACGGGUGAGUAACACGUGAGCAACCUGCCCCUGACUCUGGGAUAAGCCUGGGAAACUGGGUCUAAUACCGGAUGCGACCGGCUCCUGCAUGGGGUGUCGGUGGAAAGUUUUUCGGUUGGGGAUGGGCUCGCGGCCUAUCAGCUUGUUGGUGGGGUGAUGGCCUACCAAGGCGACGACGGGUAACCGGCCUGAGAGGGCGACCGGUCACACUGGGACUGAGACACGGCCCAGACUCCUACGGGAGGCAGCAGUGGGGAAUAUUGCGCAAUGGGCGGAAGCCUGACGCAGCGACGCCGCGUGGGGGAUGACGGCCUUCGGGUUGUAAACCUCUUUCAGCAGGGACGAAGCUUACGUGACGGUACCUGCAGAAGAAGCGCCGGCUAACUACGUGCCAGCAGCCGCGGUAAUACGUAGGGCGCAAGCGUUGUCCGGAAUUAUUGGGCGUAAAGAGCUCGUAGGCGGUUUGUCGCGUCUGUCGUGAAAGCCCACGGCUUAACCGUGGGUCUGCGGUGGAUACGGGCAGACUAGAGGCAGGUAGGGGAGAAUGGAAUUCCCGGUGUAGCGGUGAAAUGCGCAGAUAUCGGGAGGAACACCGGUGGCGAAGGCGGUUCUCUGGGCCUGUACUGACGCUGAGGAGCGAAAGCGUGGGGGAGCGAACAGGAUUAGAUACCCUGGUAGUCCACGCCGUAAACGUUGGGCGCUAGGUGUG